CUCUUGCAGGUGGGUUUGAUAGCUCGUGGACGUCACUGCCGCGCAUGCGUUCUGAGUCUUCCUGAUUGUCAUGGCUGACACCAACUGGCCAAGCUGUUGCAGGAGUUUAAAAGGCGUCGUACUGGACAUGUGUGGUGUCCUGUACGACAGUGGAGAGGGCGACGGUGUGGCUAUACCAGGCUCCAUCGAAGCCGUGCAGAGGCUCAAGGCGUCCGACCUGCAGCUGCGCUUCUGCACCAAUGAGACCCAGGCCACCAGAGAGAAGUUUGUGGCCAAGCUGCAGAGGCUGGGCUUCGACAUCUCUGUUUCUGAGGUCUUCCCUCCUGCUCCUGCAGUGGUUGCUGUCCUUAAGCAGAGGGGUUUACGGCCUCACCUGCUGGUUUACGACGGAGUUCUCCCUGAGUUUGACAGCAUCGAUAAGACGAACCCAAACUGCGUGGUGAUUGGUGAUGCAGCCGAGAACUUCUCCUAUCAGAACCUGAACGAGGCAUUCAGGGUCCUGGUAGGCCUGGAAAAACCAGUGCUCUUCUCUAUGGGCCAAGGGAGAUACUACAAAGAGACAGAUGGUUUGAAAUUGGAUGUUGGUGUUUUUAUGAAGGCUUUGGAGUAUGCAUGUGAUUUAGAGGCCGAAGUCAUUGGAAAGCCAUCCCCAAUGUUCUUUCAGACCGUCCUUGGUGACAUGAACCUUCAACCACAUGAGGCAUUGAUGAUUGGAGACGAUUUGGUGAAUGAUGUGGGCGGGGCCCAGCAUUGUGGUAUGAAAGGUGUACAAGUCAGGACUGGCAAAUACAGGUUGAUGGAUCCUAAACAUCUGCAUUUCUGUCGGCACAUGUAAGAAGGCGAGUGAUGCCUGACGUGACUCAUCUUCUGAGGUGAUGACGCAACAAAAUGUGGAGACGUGGGACUUGGAAGAACUAGAUCAAAACCUGGAACAAAUCUGCACGGAACCACACCCACUUCCAUCUUCGUUGGAUUUCAUCUGCAGCUUCAAACAAAUGUGAGGACCUAGAGCUGAGUUGGCAGGGUCAUCUAAGGGCCUGCCACUACUGAAGCGCUGUACCAACAACAAAUACCAGAAGAGAAGUGCAACAGAAACUGGCCAAAUUGAACGGAUGACCUUAAUGAACAGUGAGGAGAAGAAAAGCAGGAAGCCAUCUUGAUCAGUGCGGUGGAAGCAGGCUGGUUUCUCAAAGGCUCACGACAGCAACCCUCAGCUCCUGCAGGAAUGUGCUUCACUCCUUUGCCCAAUCCUGAGCAGACACAGAAAGACAAGCCAGAGCAAUGGACCCUGGCGUGUGUUCAAGUCCAGGCAUUGGCCAGGGAUUAUUUCUUAUGCUUUCCAACAUCCCCUGGCUUUGCCCCUCACCAACCAACCAAUGUCAACAGUACGUCGUCAGUUAUCAUAAUGGAGAAACGUGUGGCUGUGCGGCCACGGUUAUGCUGUGUCCGGACAUCUGGCCUACGGCGGAAGUUGUGUGUGACAGCACUCCUGUUUAUCCUGACCGAGUGGGUGAGCCAAUCAACACUGAAGCAUGGCAGUGGUACUAGUGUGGUCGGGGACAAGCGUUGUCCCGUGGUUGUUACGUGGUGGCAAACAGGAGGAGCUGCAGGCCAUGCAGAUCCAGUAAGAGUUGCUCCACGCUCUGUGAUCCCAGCUCCAGCCUGAGGAGGGCACCAAUGAACUGCGAUGAAGCCCAGGAGAAGCUCCACGUGACAAGCAACAACCUGAAGAUGAGGGACCAGGAGCACAACUGGUGUAAGCCACCAGUGCUUUGACAGAAGAGGCAGAUGGUCAACAAAGCCACUCGUGAUCCUCGUAUCGUAAAGCAGGUGGAGCAUGCUGAUGGUUGUGUAGACGCGGUCAAUGUGUGAAAAGCAACAACAGAGAACAGAGAAGAAGAAGAAGAGCCCCGGCCAGCAUCUCCGCAUGAGACAUGAUGGAAAACAGCAGUAUCAGAAUCAAGCUCCCAUCCUCAUUAGCGAGAUAUUCUCUCCAAAACACAAGAGUCGCCGUGCGGGGUUGUCCUGAGUCCAGACCAGACCAGACGCUGAGCCUUGGUUGUGUCAAAACAAGAACAAGAACAGAAGUGGUGAGGAUGGAGAUGGAGGGCAGAACCUGACUCCAGCGCUGAGAGAGGAUGACUGGAGGAGGAGCUGUGCGUUCUGAAAAGUGAAACCAGACAGAAUACGUGUUGUGGAGAUAGUGAGGAGGGGUGGGAGUGUGUCUAAGGGUGGCGCUAAAGAAGAAUCCGUGUGUGCCAAUACGUUCCCAAAUUUAACAAAGUGAACAAUAUAAAUUCCUGGUGUGGAAAUAAAAAUUCAAUAUUUUUUACUGAAUAAUAAAAAUGUACUUACAUUUAUUUUUUUUCUCUUCUUAGAUUGGAUUGAAGCUCCACAAACGCAUGGUGGUGUUGUAAAUUACAACCAGUGACAAUAAACCGUGUAUCACAGCAAUUACAAUUGGGUGGACGGUGGGAUUAGUUAUACCA